UUAUUAUAAUCAACUGUUCUACGCAAGACUGUACUUUAUACUUGCCUUCUAGAUUAUAAAGCACACUUAUAUUUGCGCAGCAGUUUUUCUGAGAAUACAUACAUGCAGCAUUACAAUGGUCCAGUGGCAAUAUUAAAUCUCUAUCAACUGUUUAUGAUAUAUAUCACAAAAUUUUAUUAGCAUCAACGGUUUUCUUUAUUUCUUUAUAUUUUAUUUUUUUAGAAAAUGAGUUGUAAUUUGCUGUAGCCUGUAGCAGUUCUCCGAUGAUUGUAUUGUGUCAUAAACAAGGUAAUUAGUUUAAUCGGUCAAGAUGACUGCAUUAAUAUAAUUAGCUGGUCCAUUCUAUUUGAUGAGCAAAAUAAUUUAAGAAAAUAAGCAGCAAAUCAUUCACUUCAUUUACAUGCAUAAGAAAUUAAUUUCCCACCUCUCUCUCUCUCUCUCACUAAAAAAGAAAGAGAAAGAUACUAAUUUCCAUUGUCAAUGUUUAAUGUUCUACAUUUUAUUUCAAAGUUUUAUAGGUUUGUUGGCUGUGUAACUACUUAUCUCAUAUUUCAUGAUUUUGAUUACUGUAACAGUUGGUACUCUCUCUCUCUCUCAAAAAAAAAAAAAAAAGAGAGAUCCACCAUUGGAAAAUUGACUGCUGUGUGUACCAUUUGAAUCAGGCUUUGUUAACGAUGAAGAUGUUAAGCAUCGAGAAACCAAAUUGCGAGAAGCUCUAAGAAGCGAUACUCAAUUCCAAGUGAAAGAGGAUGCAUUGGUAGAAGUUGCACAGUUUAACCCUCCAUUUACACUCCCUUUUACACGUCGCAAUGAAAUAGCACUGGAAGUUGAAGGUAAGACCAAAUAGAGCUCUACGACAUAUGCAAAUAUACAGUCCUUCGGAUGUCAGAUUUGGAGGGAUGUCAGGAUGCACCAGGUGUGCCUAAAUCUAUAGCAAGAAGCAACUGCGUACAGCUAUCAUCUGAUUGUAUACAAUUAAAUAUACGGUUAUAUCUUUCUGUACAUGGCUGUGGUUCAAAUUAUUCAGAGCAUAUUGUAUAACAACAAUUAAUUGUGGAGAAAAGUUUAUUAUUGACAUUUUCCCAUGUUAUUAUAGUCCAUACCUCAUCCAUAUUUCCACA